rnacentral:misc_RNA from 1 species
GAUGAAGAACGCAGCGAAAUGCGAUAAGUAAUGUGAAUUGCAGAAUUCAGUGAAUCAUCGAAUCUUUGAACGCACAUGGCGCCUUCCAGUAUCCUGGGACGCAUGCCUGUCCGAGCGUCGUUUCAACCCUCGAGCCCCCGUGGCCCGGCGUUGGGGAUCUGCCACGGCAGGCCCCUAAAACCAGUGGCGGACCCGAAGGCCCUCUCCUUUGCGCAGUAGCAUCAGCCUCGCAUUGGGAUCCCUCGGCGUCCUGCCUCUAAACCCCCCACAAGUCCGCUCCGGCGGCACCAAGGUUGACCUCGGAUCAGGUAGGAAUACCCGCUGAACUUAAGCAUAUCAUAAGCGGAGGA